AUUGUACCCAGGCAUCAUCUAAAAAUAUUGCUGUGAGUUAUUAACUUGGAUUGGAUGCAUUUCUCAAGCUUUUUAUUUUUAAUUUUUAAAAAAUUUAUCUAUUUAUUUAUUCAUUUAUUUUUGGCUGUGUUGGGUCUUCGUUGCUGCACGCAGGCUUUCUCUAGUUGUGGCACAAACAUUACUCUCCGCCCAGGAAUUUGUGACUCCUCAAGCAGAAGUCUUUUUCCAUGUGAGGGAGGGAGACUCCAGGAGCAGAGGUCAGUCAGCUAAAACACCUUUGCAGCCAAUGACUGUGCCCUUUGAUUCGUCAGAAAAUUCUCUUUGGAGGUUCAGAGGGCUGUGCUCCUCCUGCUAAGAUAACGUUCAUUGCAUUAAUGUCAUGGGUUUUCCCUUUCAGAAGUAAAGAGACAGCAGAGGAGAAUACACAGACAGAAAGGAGGAGAAGGCCAUGUGAAGACAGAGGCAGAGACUGGAGUUAUGGAGCCACAAGCCAUGGAAUGCCUGGAGCCACCAGAAACUGGAAGAGGCAAGAAUUCUCCCCCAGAGCCAUUAGAGGGAGCACAGUCCUGCCUACACCUUGAUUUCAGACUUCCAGCCUCUAAAACUGUGAAAGAAUAAAUUUUUGUUGUUUUGAGCAACCCAGUUUGU